rnacentral:rRNA from 1 species
CUUCGGAUUGAAGUUGUUUAUGACUGAGUGGCGGACGGGUGAGUAACGCGUGGGUAACCUGCCUUGUACUGGGGGAUAGCAGCUGGAAACGGCUGGUAAUACCGCAUAAGCGCACAAUGUUGCAUGACAUGGUGUGAAAAACUCCGGUGGUAUAAGAUGGACCCGCGUCUGAUUAGCUAGUUGGUGAGAUAACAGCCCACCAAGGCGACGAUCAGUAGCCGACCUGAGAGGGUGACCGGCCACAUUGGGACUGAGACACGGCCCAGACUCCUACGGGAGGCAGCAGUGGGGAAUAUUGCACAAUGGAGGAAACUCUGAUGCAGCGACGCCGCGUGAGUGAAGAAGUAUUUCGGUAUGUAAAGCUCUAUCAGCAGGGAAGAUAGUGACGGUACCUGACUAAGAAGCUCCGGCUAAAUACGUGCCAGCAGCCGCGGUAAUACGUAUGGAGCAAGCGUUAUCCGGAUUUACUGGGUGUAAAGGGAGUGUAGGUGGCCAUGCAAGUCAGAAGUGAAAAUCCGGGGCUCAACCCCGGAACUGCUUUUGAAACUGUAAGGCUGGAGUGCAGGAGGGGUGAGUGGAAUUCCUAGUGUAGCGGUGAAAUGCG